rnacentral:rRNA from 1 species
CAAAUUUGAAAUCUGGCCCCUCGGGUCCGAGUUGUAAUUUGUAGAGGAUGCUUUUGGCAAGGUGCCGCCCGARUUCCCUGGAACGGGACGCCACAGAGGGUGAGAGCCCCGUCUGGCUGGCCACCGAGCCUCUGUAAAGCUCCUUCGACGAGUCGAGUAGUUUGGGAAUGCUGCUCAAAAUGGGAGGUAUAUGUCUUCUAAAGCUAAAUAUUGGCCAGAGACCGAUAGCGCACAAGUAGAGUGAUCGAAAGAUGAAAAGCACCUUGAAAAGAGGGUUAAAUAGUACGUGAAAUUGUUGAAAGGGAAGCGCUUGURACCAGACUUGGGCGCGGCGGAUCAUCCGGGGUUCUCCCCGGUGCACUUCGCCGCGUCCAGGCCAGCAUCAGUUCGUCGCGGGGGAAAAAGGCUUCGGGAACGUGGCUCCCCUGGGAGUGUUAUAGCCCGUUGCAUAAUACCCUGCGGUGGACUGAGGACCGCGCAUCUGCAAGGAUGCUGGCGUAAUGGUCACCAGCGACCCGUCUUGAAACACGGACCAAGGAGUCGUCUUCGUAUGC